rnacentral:lncRNA from 1 species
GGCGAGAUCUGGGAGUAAUCUUUGCAACAAUAACUCGUGAAUUAAAGCUGCACAUCGAACCUAAACGGAGGUGAAGUGAAGAAAUGAGAAGAGGAACGGGUUUUUUAAGAUCACAAAACAGAAAACGGCGGUUUCAUCUUCUGAGGAAGGUAACAUCGACGAAGCACUAAUUAUGAAAUAUUCACGGAACGCAACGUUUUAACGCAUGAGUGAAUGUUUGCAAGGUUUGCCCAAGUCAGCCCACACCACAAUGGUCAAACAUAACAGGCCCAAGCAAGAAACCGCGCAAACAAAUCAAAACGACAAACUUAACAAUAAAUGGGGACCCACAAAAUUAAUGUUCUGCAUACGUGGAUGCUUUGAGAAGAGAGAAAAGAGCCUCAUUAUAUAUAUGAUUGUAUUGAAGUGGUAGUCUGCUAUAAAUAUUUACAAAGUCCAAGGGGAUGUCAAAAAGAGUGCAGCUGUUUUAAUUGUAGUAUUGAUUAACCAGACCAACCAGAAUGUGUCAAA